UAACCCGAAUCCUGUAUCCAGAAUCUCUACCGGACCAUCAUAACGUAACAGUAGAACCGUAACACCCGCCUUUACGGGAGAACUUGAAUCGAUUAUGCUUGAUUCACAGCUCAGAAGAACAAAUUUUUUAAUAACCAAAAAUUCAUCCUGAUUCUCCUCAUUUUUAGAUGGUACAAAGAAAAUUCGACGAUGAACACGACGGAGCUUUAUUUCCCACUGGAAAAAGACUAAAUCCAACACAACUCUUCUUGAGGUAAACGACCAACACAAAACAACCAACAGACCCAGAGAACAUAUCCAACGAAAGGAUUACAAGAUUAAAGCUAACAAGGACUACAUAGGGAAAGAAAAAAUUAGCCUAAUCCUUGAACUAACUGCCGAAAAAGUAAGAAAUCUACCUGUGACUAAAAACCGAUCAACACCAUCACUAAUUAAAAAUUCCAAACCGAAAAGUUUAGGUAUAGAUGAUGCCGAAGAUAAAAUAGAUGUUGCUUCCUUUUGCUCGAAAAUUGAUGCUGAAAUUGGUGAUGUGCAGAUAUUACUUUGGAUCCAAAACCCAAAACUCCUCACGCCACGGAGAUAAUAAUCACCCAAAACAAAACAUCCUUCUUUCCAAGUUGAUAGAAACAGGUCUCGGGAAUCUUCAAAAUAAAAUACCUACCGGAAAAACUCGCUGUAACGGGAGGGAACGCUGCAAAUCUUAGAACUUUCAACCAUUAUUAAGCAACAAACUGAUGGACAUGAACUAGAGAACCCCCCCCCCCACCCCACCCCAAAAAAAAAAGUUCAAAAGAACCAUUCAUCAAAGGAAAAACUAGAACUGGAUCUAAACUAAUGAAAAAGAAAACUAAAAAACCACAAAACAGAAUAAAAAUUACAUCAUGAAAUAAGAUACAACCUAAGAAAGCGAUAAAGCAAAGAAGCCUAUCCAUAUCUGCUCCAUAUGAAUCCGAUCUGGGCAGAAGAAGGGGCGUCGGUGAGGAAGUUUUCGUUUAGGUCAUGAGAUGAUGGAUAUGCAGACAUACAUACUCAGAGACAUCAUCAUGAGAUUUGAUUAUUCAACUAAGACAUGGAUGAAAUUUGGGUUAUCUCUCAUAUGGGAAGAUUGAAGUUUUCCCGAGCUGAUUUUGUAUUAGUUCCAGAUGUAGUGUAAGAUGAAGCUACUGCUCUGAUUUUAGAUAUCUCCUGGGCUCAGGAGUUGAACUUAUCAAAAGUUCUCUUUGUAAGUGACCGCCUCCAAGUGGUAGAUUUUGUUAAUGGAGUUAGUUGCUCGGUCGGAUGGAGAUGUAGAGAUCUUUUAGUAGAUUGUCGAAGUCGUCUUUCAAGUAGUAAUGGAUGUAAUCUUGUAUAUAUUAGGCGUGAUAAGAAUAAACUUGCGGACCGGCUUGCACACCGUGCUAGGAAACUAUGGUUUAAAACUGUUUGGGUUUCUUCUCCUCCUUUUUUGAACUCUCCUGCGAGGAAGGAACCUAUUAUGAAAGUUUGUAAGUCUCUUCUUAGUUAAUUGAAAUGGUUGUUUCUCAG